GACGAACGCUGGCGGCGUGCCUAAUACAUGCAAGUCGAGCGGACGAAUCGAAAGCUUGCUUUUGAUUCGUUAGCGGCGGACGGGUGAGUAACACGUGGGCAACCUGCCCUGUAGACGGGGAUAACGCCGAGAAAUCGGUGCUAAUACCGGAUAACACGAAAUGUCGCAUGACGUUUCGUUGAAAGACGGCGCAAGCUGUCGCUACAGGAUGGGCCCGCGGCGCAUUAGCUAGUUGGUGAGGGAACGGCUCACCAAGGCGACGAUGCGGAGCCGACCUGAGAGGGUGAUCGGCCACACUGGGACUGAGACACGGCCCAGACUCCUACGGGAGGCAGCAGUAGGGAAUCUUCCGCAAUGGACGAAAGUCUGACGGAGCAACGCCGCGUGAGCGAAGAAGGCCUUCGGGUCGUAAAGCUCUGUUGUUAGGGAAGAACAAGUAACGCAGUAACUGGCGUUACCGUGACGGUACCUAACGAGAAAGCCACGGCUAACUACGUG
rnacentral:rRNA from 1 species